ACUUGAUUUUCAUGGUAGUAGCCGUAAGCAAAACCUAUUAAAUUUGGCGGUUAUCUUAUAUCAGAGAAACUUGUUUAUUAAUCGACAAUCCUCGAUAAUUUUAACUUUUUUUUAAAGUCAAUAUACCGCCGUUUCAGAAUUAUAAUACCUACGUAACCAAAAUUAAAACCCUAUUAAAAUCAGGUCAAGGUGUCACCUACAAACAAGAUUAAAUAAGUUACAUAUAACAACAAUUUUAGGACUUUCACCCAAAACACAUAUCAAAGAGAAUCUAAAAGCAUAGUUUAAUUAAAAAUUAUACUUUAAAUAUAAUAUGAUAAUGC
rnacentral:rRNA from 1 species